CAAAAUCCCAGAGUCCUUCAAAGGUGAACUAUCGUACAGGACUCUAUUAGGAUGCUGUGUCCAUGCCCAGAAUAUGAGGAAAGCAAAGGCAGUGUUCAAGAAAAUGGGUGAGUUAAAGUUGCCAAUGAAUGUGGAUGCUUGCAAUCAGAUGAUCAUUCUGUAUAAGAGGCUUUAAAAGAAAAAAAAAGCUGAUAUNNGAUAUCUUAUUGAUGAUGGAGCAGCAGGAUAUCAAGCCAUCUCUCCUCACAUACAAACUUCUUAUAGAUACCAAAGGUGAGUUCAAUGACAUUAUGGCGAUGGAGCAAUUGGUUGAGGAUAUGAAGGCUGAUGGUUUUGAACCUGACAUCAAUGCUCUAACUGUCAUGGCUAAGCACUACAUAAAGGGGGGGUUCAAACAUAAAGCUGAAACUGUUUUGAAAGAAAUAGAAGAAAGAAAACUUAAGGGAAUUAUUGGGGCCCGAAGAUCAUUGCUUCUCCUCUAUGCUUCUCUUGGCAGAGCUGAUAAGGUGGGAAAAUUUUGGAAGGACUGUGAAGCAGAUCCCAAGAUGCAGGAGUGUGUAGCUGCCAUAGAAGCCUGGGGCAAGUUGGGCAAAGUAGGGGAGGCAGAAGCAGUAUUUGAUAUGAUGCUUCAGAAAUGGGAGAGGAUCUCCUCCAGGCAUUACUCUUCACUUCUGAAAGUUUAUAUAGAUAAUAAGCAACUUACCAAGGGGAAAGAUUUGGUGAAACGGUUGGUUGAUGCUGGAUGCUGGAUUGGCCCAUUAACUUGCGAUGCGUUAGUGAAGUUCUAUAUUGAAGCUGGGGAUGUCGACAGAGCAAGCUCAAUUCUGCAGAAGACAGCUCACAGGGAGAAAAUGAGACCCUUGUUCACAUCUUUCAUAGCUAUAAUGGAGCAGUAUGCAAAGCGGGGUGAUGUACAUAAUACUGAGAUGUUGUUUCAGAGAAUGAAGGAGUUUGGAUACAUCGGACG
rnacentral:misc_RNA from 1 species